rnacentral:tRNA from 1 species
UCCCUGGUGGCUCAGCUGGUAAAGAAUCUGCCUGCAACGCAGGAGACCUGGGUUUGAUCCCUGGAUUGGGAA